UACGGGGGGGGCAAGCGUUGUUCGGAAUUACUGGGCGUAAAGGGGACGUAGGCGGCCAACUAAGUCCGACGUGAAAUCCCAAGGCUUAACCUUGGAACUGCGUCGGAUACUGGAUGGCUUGAAUUCGGGAGAGGGAUGCAGAAUUCCAGGUGUAGCGGCGAAAUGCGUAGAUAUCUGGAGGAACACCAAUUGCGAAGGCAGCUCGCUGGGACGUUACUGACGCUGAGACGCGAAAGCGUGGGGAGCAAACAGG
rnacentral:rRNA from 1 species